rnacentral:rRNA from 1 species
CUCGUAGGUGGUUGGUCACGUCUGCUGUGGAAACGCAACGCUUAACGUUGCGCGUGCAGUGGGUACGGGCUGACUAGAGUGCAGUAGGGGAGUCUGGAAUUCCUGGUGUAGCGGUGAAAUGCGCAGAUAUCAGGAGGAACACCGGUGGCGAAGGCGGGACUCUGGACAGUGACUGACGCUCAUAUGCGAAAGCGUGGGGAUCAAACAGGAUUAGAUACCCCGGUA